GAUCCUGGCUCAGGACGAACGCUGGCGGCGUGCUUCAUACAUGCAAGUCGAACGAUAAGGCACCUUCGGGUGUACAUAAGUGGCGGACGGGUGAGUAAUAUGUAGAGAAUCUGCCCUAGAGAGCGGGACAACAGUUGGAAACGACUGCUAAUACCGCAUAUGAGCGUAGCUGAAAUGCUAUUCUUGAAAACUCCGGUGCUCUGGGAUGAGUCUGCAUCUGAUUAGCUAGUUGGGGGUGUAAUGGACCACCAAGGCGACGAUCAGUAGCUGGUUUGAGAGGAUGAUCAGCCACAAUGGGACUGAGACACGGCCCAUACUCCUACGGGAGGCAGCAGUAGGGAAUUUUGCGCAAUGGGGGAAACCCUGAACCGCAGCAACGCCGCGUGACCGAUGAAGCCCUUCGGGGUGUAAAGGUCUGUCAGUGGGGACGAAUAUUGACGGUACCCACAGAGGAAGCAUCGGCUAACUCCGUGCCAGCCGCGGC
rnacentral:rRNA from 1 species